GACGUAGGAUGCGAGCGUUGUCCGGAUUUAUUGGGCGUAAAGAGUUCGUAGGCGGUUCGUUAAGUUCGAUGUUAAAGACCGGGGCCUAACCCCGGGACUGCAUUGAAUACUGGCGGACUGGAGUGCGGUAGAGGCAAGUGGAAUUCCCAGUGUAGCGGUGAAAUGCGUAGAUAUUGGGAAGAACACCAGUGGCGUAAGCGACUUGCUGGGCCGUAACUGACGCUGAGGAACG
rnacentral:rRNA from 1 species